CAAAACAAUGACGGGUGUACACGAGAGAUGUCAUAGGAAUAUUUUGGUACAUGUCAGUAUCACAGUAAGUCAGGUGGCAUUUCAAACUGGCAUGACCAGUUCUGUGUGCAGAACUUGCUUAUCUGAAACUAACCCAAUAGUUCAGCUAUUUUAGUUGCUGUGAUCGUGUCAAGGAUAUCAUCACACACACAACUUAAAUAUCAACUUCACACUUGAGAUAAAACAUGGAGAGGAAAGAUACAACCUGCAAAUAUUACAUGCAUGGUGCUUGUAAAAAGGGGAAUGACUGUGAGUUCUCUCAUGAUCUUAAAAACAGCAAGAGUGACAUGAACUGUAAAUACUACAGGAAGGGAACAUGCUUCUAUGGUGACCAGUGCAGAUAUGACCACAAUAAACACCACCACCACCACCAGCAGUCUAAGUAGUGACCAGCAGAUCACAUGAACAAAGCUAGCAGUGCGGGAGCCUAAGUUCCAGGAUCCGGACAUAAAGAAGAAAAUCAUGACUAUUUACACAACCUUCAUGUUAUAAAUGGGCCCAUUCAAGCAUCAUCCCAAUAUCACUUUGACAUAAAAUAUACCGAUCAUAUCUAUAAAUCAAAAGAGACAUGUUAUUGUGAAACAAUGUUGUGCUAUUUUGUUAUGAUGUCAUGAUCAUGAAAAGUAACAAUAAACAUUUUUAAGACUGGAUAAAAUUGAUUUGUAUACAUGAGU